CCGACUGUUCUCAUCCUCAUAAUGAAUGUGACACAAUACUUUGCGCAAUGCUUUCUCCCUCAAUUUGCGCCCGGGCCAACUCAUCAUAAAAGGUUCAACAAACUUGUGGAGAGUGGCCCAUAAGAUAUCUUGAACCAACGAAUGCGGAUAGUACAAAUCUUCCUAAAGUACAAGCAAGAAAAAAUAUGGCAGCUAUCUAAGUUUCGAUAUUCACUAUAAUAACUGCAUUCAUAUUGUAGUGAUUUUAUAGUGACUGGUAUAAGCGAUUUUGUCUAAAAAUACUGAUGAUUGUUUCCUUGUUGAGUUGUCAAUUUAAAAGAUUCAGUUAUAUCCUAUGUAUUCUUAUACACGAAGCUAAUUAACAUCACUUGGUACAAUAAGCCUGCUUUCUUAUGAUCAUGACUUAUUACUCAAAACCAUCUUGUUCAUCGGAUUAAUAUUUCUAAUGUUAUAAUUCAGACUUUUCAACAAACCUUAGCACAUUGAUUUCGAGCGUUGUUCCAAUCAAUAUGGCUGUAUGAGUCUUUGUAGAGUUCAUUUCUCAAUUCCUGGACAAGUUGUGUCAUACGGCCAACAAACCUCUUUCCGUAAACGUAAGACAUGGGUAAAUACACCGAUCGACAAUGACUCCACAUUCGGCCUGAAACGAUUAGUGAAGCGUAAUAGCAUGAGCAAAAAAUAUCCUAACACAAAAGAAAGUAAUACUACUUAUCAACAAUGAGGUAUGGCAAUAGAAGUAGUCUAUAGUAAACUAAUAUGACGUGUACACAAAUAAAUAAUCUUGAGCCUGUUUGUCUCCCUCGUUUCUUAGCCCAAUUCACUGAACAAAGCCUAAAGAUUUGGUAUAGUCAAUGUUUUUUCCCGAUCCCCUUUCCAAAAAGGAAAGUUGUGGAAUGGUUAAGAAAAUAUUUAUUUACUGGUUUCACUUAAAGUAAAAUUAAGCAUGAACUCCCCAAAGUUCUACUUUAUCUAUUGUGAAAGUAUUUGAAAUUACUCAUUAUAUUAGAUAAAAAUGUUUGUAAAACAUAUAAUUUAAUUUUCGUUGUAUUUCAGAAAACUAUAAUUUUUUGAAUUAAUGACACAAAAGUGCACUUUUAAUAUCAUCGCCAUUAAAAUUUAUACAUUCACAAAUCAAUAUGUAAAUAUAUGCUGUCAACUUUUAUCCUCUUGCUAAUCAUGAAUGCUUUAUGUUCCAAUUGGUGUUGCUUUAUAAUCCCCAGCCACAAUUCACAAUAUGGGAUGUUGUUACCCUGAGCAAAAGGUCACUAGAUGCCUAGGUUUGCUUCAAUCUUUUCAUUAUUUAUUCAGUCUGCCAUGCGCAGCACCUAUGCACGGUACACUAAGGGUGUGGUUGGUUGUAUGAAAUGAUUCAAAAUAAUAACGAUCAUUUUGUUUGGUUGGGUGAAUUGUACCAACUCAUCGAUGAUGAAGCCAUCCUACUUAAUUUAUUAUUCUACUAGUAGGAGUGAAUACAAGCAAAUUGGUUGAACCCCACCAUCCAAAAUCAUCCAUACAUGCAUUAUGUAGUGCAUGCAACCAAACAACACUCUAAGUUAGUACAGUAGUUGUUAUGAUUUACCAACAGACAUUUAUUGCAUGCUCUGGUUCCAUCGCAGAUAAGUUUCUGUGUUUGUCCUGAGUAAAAGAUUCGAUGUCGACCAGAUUCAUAUAUAAAAGUUUUAACAUGCGCCAUAUAUCUAUGAAAAUACAUUUCAUAAUAGAUCUAAUUAUGCUCAUUUAAUUUGAUAUUUUAGAUAUAAUUAUUCUUUUCAAUAAACUAUGUUAAACAUAGAAUAAUCUGACGACAAAUUCAGAAUCUCUUAUAUGUAACACAAUGGAAUGUGCCUCAAGGAAGAAAUCAGAACCUGGGUGAAUCGGCAGGUAAUAUGGCAACAGCCAUAAUUCUGGUGGCAUCGGGUUGAUUCCAGACCAGUCAAAUACUCCAAGUACCUUAAAUGUAUAGUUAAGAGAUAUUCAUGAGUACUUUAGUUCGUGAAGCAAGAUUAAAUAACACUGGCGUGGCUAAGGGUUAAUUAAUCCCCUACUGCAAGCCAAAACUUCCCCCAUGACGUUGUAAAUGUUGCUCCUCCGCGCUCUAAAAUCCAAUUUCGACCUUGCUUCAUAGCUCCAUCGCCGCCAUUUGGGCCUUCCCCAAGUAAUCUCAAAGUAAC
rnacentral:lncRNA from 1 species